rnacentral:rRNA from 1 species
GGUUGCGAUCAUACCAGCACUAAUGCACCGGAUCCCAUCAGAACUCCGCAGUUAAGCGUGCUUGGGCGAGAGUAGUAUUAGGAUGGGUGACCCCCUGGGAAGUCCUCGUGUUGCAACCCC